GAAGUGUCGGAAGGAAGUGUCGGAAGGAAGUGUCGGAAGGAAGUGUCGGAAGGAAGGAAGGAAGGAAGGAAGGAAGGAAGGAAGGAAGGAAGGAAGGAAGGAAGGAAGGAAGGAAGGAAGGAAGGAAGGAAGGAAGGAAGGAAGGAAGGAAGGAAGGAAGGAAGGAAGGAAGGAAGGAAGGAAGGAAGGAAGGAAGGAAGGAAGGAAGGAAGGAAGGAAGGAAGGAAGGAAGGAAGUGGCGGAAGGAAGUGGCGGAAGGAAGUGUCGGAAGGAAGUGUCGGAAGGAAGGAAGGAAGGAAGGAAGGAAGGAAGGAAGGAAGGAAGGAAGGAAGGAAGGAAGGAAGGAAGGAAGGAAGGAAGGAAGGAAGGAAGGAAGGAAGGAAGGAAGGAAGGAAGGAAGGAAGGAAGGAAGGAAGGAAGGAAGGAAGGAAGGAAUUUUUUUAUCUUUCAGUUCUUCCUCAUAGGCAUGAAUACAAAACCAAAAGUCUUCUAUUGAUUUACUCAUCAGUCUUAAAAGGGAGAAUCAUCUUUUCUAAUGGAUCAAGAAAUUCACCCAUCAGCAAGGCAUAAUCUUCAGUGGCCUUGGGUGAAGCAUAUUCUAAUGGAACUACUGCUCCAAGCAGAGGUAUUACAGCCCUUACCACUCCUCCUAGAAUUGGAGUACCUGCCUGCAAUCAUGUAGUAUUACCUAUUAAGAGGCAUCUGAGUGCUGCAAGAAUGGACUGAAAAUGAAGAUGAGACUUCAGCUGUCACACACAAUGGAACAUAUUGAAGCUGUUUGUGCUUGUUUAGUGCAAGCCAAGUGGAUUUUGCCAGGACCUCAGGGGCAGGAAAUUCCAGAUAAUAUUUGCAGCAAAGAACACGUAUAAGAAGGAAGGCAUGACAAGGGAUAGAAUAUAUUUAUUCAACUCUAGCCCAUUUUAAUUUCCAGGAUUUUGUCUACAUGCUUUACUGAUCCUGUGCUCAAAAAUUAGACUUCUGUCUUUAAGUCUUAUACUCCUGCUUUGGCUUUGAAGCUGUUACAAAGCUGGCAGCUUGAACGGGGCACAGCCAUACGGGCAUAUUUUAAAGUGUCAGAACUAAUACUAAGCCUUUCACAGUUGCAAAAGAAAUGUAAUUUGCUUUGAGGAGUGGACUUAUUAUUGAGAAACAUUGUUAUAAUCCAAAUUUUUCAUUAAAUGUCUCUCACUCCUCUUUCCUUCUUUUGCUCUCUCUCUUUCCCUCAGACUUCAACAUACAUGAGGUCAUAGAUGCUCAUACUCACAGGCACAAUUGUAUCUUGUUCUUUUUCUCUUGCAGUCCCUCUUAUACCAAAAAGAAUUGAGCCUUCUGAUACCGUAUGGAACUAACAACGUGAUUUAAAAUGACAUUAUAACACUAAAAAGAAGAACAUAGAAAUUCUGAAAUCUUCUGGAUAAUGAUUUUUGCCAGGUUUCCAAAAAAAAUCGGCCCAUUUAAUGCUUAAGCAUAAGCCAGGUUGUGCUGAAACACAAAAAUCUGAUUUAUUGGACUGUGUUGUCCUGAUCCAAUGAAUUUAAUACAUGAAGCUUUGAAUUUUGCAGGAAGCAAAAUAUUCAUUAAACAUCUUUAUAGGGUCAAAAAAUAAGACAAAAUACCAUUAGUUUUCAAUGCUCAUUGACAAUGAAGGAUGAGAGAGGGACAAAAAGAUAAAGAAAAAUUUUCCUGUAAUCAAAAUAAUGUGUUUUUUCAGAACUCUGUAUCUGUAAUGUGUCCUUUCACUUCGGUGUCUUAGGAUCUUAAGCAGGAUCCAAAGCAGGAUCCUAACUUGAGUUAAAAGAAAUGUGCCAAAUUUCUACCUCUAGUCUUACAGAACACAAAGUUCAGCAUUGCCCCAACACAGUUAUUGUAUAACAUGGAAUCAUAGAAUCAUAGAAUAAUUUGGAAGGGACUUUUGAAAAUCAUUUAGUUCAAUUCACCUGGAGUGAACAUAUAUACAACACACACAUAUAUAAACAUAUUUCCUCAUUGUCCCGCUGUUUGUUGAUACUAAACUACAUACUCUUUUUGAAAAUGACUUUGGGACCGAAGUUGGACUUUUGCCCAUUAUCAUGGAGAAGGGACACAGAAGUAUUCUUUGAUCUAACAUAUUUUUGACUGCCAAGAUAAGAAGUUUGCUUUUCCACUGAUUUGUGAAAUAACCCAUUGACUACUGAAUCUCUAAGAAGACAAAGUGAAGCAUUAGCCCUGAGCACAUUACUACUUUAUCAGCAUUGUUCUUGCUUUAAUUUCAGAAAAAGAUUGUUCAAGUCUAAGAGUAAGGCUAGACAUCACUGUUGUUUAAAGUAAUCACUCAUACAAAUAAAU